rnacentral:rRNA from 1 species
GACGAACGCUGGCGGCGUGCUUAACACAUGCAAGUCGAACGGAAAGGCCCUGCUUUUGUGCGGUGCUCGAGUGACGAACGGGUGAGUAACACUUGAGUUACCUAUCCUUGACUUUGAAAUAACUUCAGGAAACUGAAGCUAAUUCCGGAUAGGAGCUCCUGCUGCAUGGUGGGGGUUGGAAAGUUUAGGUGGUUGGGGAUGGACUCGCCGCUUAUCGGCUUGUUGGUGGGGUAGUGGCUUACCAAGGCAUUGACGGGUAGCCGGCCUGCGAGGGAGACCGGCCACAUUGGGACGGGGAUAGGGCCCAGACUCCUAUGGGAGGCAGCAGAGGGGUAUAGUACACUAUGGGCGGAGGGCUGAUGCAGCAACGCAGCGUCCGGGAUGAGGUCAACGCAGUCGGAAAGCACUGUCGCCUGAGACGAAACGUGAGUGACGGUAAUGGGUAAAGAAGCUCCGGCUAACUACGUG